UCAAAUAUUAUUUGCUUGUAUUUUCUUUCAAUCUCUGCAUUGCGUUUUCACUUUGUUGAUAGUAUCCUUAUGCACAAAAGAUUUAAACUUUGACAAAGUCUAGUGUAUUGAUUUUCUAUUUUCUUUUGUUACCCAAGUUUUUGGUGUCAUAUCCAAGAAAUCAUUGCUAAAUUCAGUGUCAUGAAUCUUUUCCCCUAUGUCUUCUUCAAAGAGUUUUAUAGUUUUAGCUCUUACUUUGAGGUCUUUGAUCCAUUUAGAGUUAAUUUUUCGGUAUAGUGUUAAGAUGAAGGGUCCAACUUCAUUCUUCUGCAUGUGGGUCUCUAGUUUCCUCAAGACCAUUUGUUGAAAAGACUGUCAUUUGCCCCAUUGGAUGGUCUUGGGACCCUUGCCAAAAACCAUUUGAUCAUUUUUUUGGCUCUCUAUUCUAUUCCAUUGGUCUAAAUAUCCAUCUUUAUGCCAAUUCCAGUCUGUUUUGAUUGCUGUAGUUUUGUAGUAAGCUUUAAAAUCAGGAAUUAUGAAACCUCCAAGUUUUGUUUUGGUUUUUUCAAGAUUGUUGUGGGUAUUCAAAUCCCUUGAGAUUUCAUAUGAAUUUUAGGUUUGAUUUUUCUAUUUCUGUAAAAAGCAUCAUUGAGGAUUUUGAUAAGGAUUGUAUUGAAUCUGUAGAUUGCUUUGAGGAGUAUUGACAUCUUAAUAGUAUUAGGGCUUCCAAUGGGUGAACACAUGAUAUCUUUUCAUUUAUUUCUGUCUUUAAUUUCUUUUGGCAGCAUUUUAUAGUUUUCUGUGUACAAAUUUUUUGCCUCCUUGAUUCAGUUCAUCCCCAAAUAGUUUAUUCUUUUUGAUACCAUUGUAAAUAGAAUUAUUUUCUUAAUUUCCUUUUUGGAUUGUUCAGUGUAGUGUGUAGAGAUGCAACUGAUAUUUGUAUGUUGAUUUUUACAUCUUAUAACUUUGCUGAAUCUGUUUAUUCUAAUACUUUUUUCGUGGACUCUUUAGGCUUUCUACAUAGAAGAUUAUGUUUUCUGCAAACAAAUAAUUUUUCUUCUUUUCUAAUUUAGAUGCUUUUUAUUUUUUUUCCUUGUCUUAGUUUUAACUCAUGGAGAAAUUAGAUGGUUUUAACUUUGAAACUUGUUUAUCCAGAAAUUUACUAUGGAAAAUAUACCUUGAAAUUUUUUCAUGUUAUUCUCUGGAAAGCUGUAGGAUUUUUAUUUACAAAGUAAUAAGAGAUGGUCUGUAUUGCAAUGAAAAUUUAACUCACAGUUUCUAGAUUUGUAACAGGCUUUUUUUGGGGGGGGUAGGGGAGCUGUCUUAGAAUCACAGAUACAGUUUUCUUGACACUGCAUGCCUUGUGUGUUUUCUGUUGCUUUAGAAGGUAAUUUUUUUUUUUUACCAUUCGACUUGGAAUUUAACUUUGGAAUUUUUGUUGUUAAAGAUGUGUGUUUAAGAGAUGUCAAUAGUUGACAUUAUAGCCAUAUAAAAUGUGAAGUCAUUAAAAACAGGUGAUACACUGGAAAUAAAUUAUUAGUCAUGUAGUUCAAAUCUUAGAUGAGAAAACUGAGGCCUGGAGAGGAUUUAACUUAUACAAGGUUCUGUAGUUAUCAUCAGAUCCAGGACUAAACCUUUUUUAGAGAUUUGUCUUAUUUUAUUGAUAUGUAAGUCAUGUUGAAUGUAUAUUUACAGAUUUUAGUUUCUUUGUAUGUUGGUCACCUACCUGAGAUUAUCAAGGCAAAAAAAUUUAGACUACUCAAAGAUUUAAGAAGCUUGCUCUUUGAAUUGUAGUUGAAAGGUGGGAAACUUUAAGCAUUAUCUUUUUUUGUAUGAUAUGAUACAUUUAUGUAUUCAGAGGAUCUACCCUUCAGAAACCUUCAUGUAGAUCUUACCUGAGAAAUAUGUUUUGUUUGCAUUUGUUUUCUAACUUCAGUCCUUCUCAUUUCACUCUGCAUGGUUUUUUUUUAUGACAUUUUCAGUGAUUAUGUAAAUAAUGGCUUCAAAUAUUUGUGUAUCUUAACUCUCAGACUAAGAUACUGACUCUCAGACUAAGAUACUGGAUGUCCCUCUGCUUUCUAGACCUCUCUUGCUGUAUGUUUCAUAUAGUCUUCAAACUUGACGUGUCCCAAGUUGAGUUUCUGCUCCUUCCUGAAAAUUGCAUUGUCCUCUGUGUUUCCCACCUUGGUGAAUGGUCCUAUCAUCUGCUCAGUUUCAUGAAUUGUAAAUCUAGAAGUCAUUCUUAACUCUUUCCCUUAUUCUCCCAUAUUCAGUUUAUCACCAAGUUGUGUUGAUUCCAUCUUACCAUGUUAGAAGUCCUUCCCCUUCUGUCUUUUCUGCCUAGCUGAACCAUUGGUUACUGCAACAGCCUUUUAACUGGUAUUCCGGACUUCAGGCUCACCCUUUGAUCUAUCUUGUUACUGGAUCCAAAGCAUAAUAUAUCUAAAAUACAAAUUUGAUUGGUCAUACCUGUGUUUAAAAUUCUCAAUUAUUAACCAUUACCUUCAGGAUAACAGUAGCAUUAGAUAUAGCUAAAUCUAUUACUUGUAUUGUCUGAUUUAAUUCUUCAAACAAUCCUUUGUUGUUUUUUUAAUCCCAGUUUUAUGGAUGAGGAAAAUGAGACCAGGAACUAACCCCAGGACUGUCUGAUUUUAAAGUUUAUGUUCUUAGGCAUUCUGGUAUGCUACUUAAAUAGGGCAUUCAAGACCUCUUGUGUUGUGGGACUCUUACCCACCUCUGUAGUAUUCACUUGAUAUUUUUAACUGUACCUUGAGGGUAGAGAUCAUGUCCCAGACCAAGCAGUUGCUUAAUAUAUAGUAUUUGGUAAAUGUUUUUCGAAUAGAUUGUUAGAAGUGAAUAAAUAGCAGAGGACAGUGAGAAUAGCCCACUGAACAUUACAUGCAUAUAAUUUCUGAAGGAAAGGAUUUCUCUAGCUGGCCAUGUUCAUAGUAAGCUUUGGGUUAGAGCAGAAUAAUGAGAGGGAAAUGAAAUACAGAGGGGUGCUUUAAGAUAGCAACUACUUGUUUUUAAUUUGAAUGAAUUAUAUCCUAGGGUUGUAAGAACUUGAAAGUGAAAUUUCUAAAUAACUUUGUUUUUAGGCCUUGUGGAGUUAAGGAGAGAUGUACCUGAAGGCUAGAGACAGGGAAGAGUUAUUCCAUUUUUCAGAAAAGGGAAGAAAGUAGCUUAUAAAGCUUGAUGUGGCUCUCAGGUGAGAUUCUAGAAUAAAUUUAAAGAGUGUUUCCAGGAGAGGUAAAGCACUAAUCAUGAAAACUAGCCUGAAUUCAUUGAGUACAAACCAAAACAGCCUAACUUUUAUUUUUGUGGAUGGAACUUCCUGUCUUCGGUGGAUUACAUGAGAUUUAAGACAUAUUUAUUAAAUUUGCAGAUGGCACAGAUCUGAGAGGACUAGUAUGUUAGCCAGAAUGAGCUAGAUUUUACUAUUUUAAAUAACUCUCAAAUCUCAAUGGCAUAAAAAUAAAAAUGAUUUAUUUGUUGUUCAUACUGCAUGUUCAUUCUUAGGUCAGUAUGUUGCUCUGCUCAGUGUUGUCCUGACAUAGGAACCCAAACUAGAGACUUUUACCUUCUGGAAACAUUGCCUAUAUUUGUGGCUGGAGAAAGGGAACCUGAUGAAUUGCACAUCAACCCUCAGAAACUUCUGUCAUAUCACAUCAAUUCAUGUUUAACUGAUCAAAGCAAAUCACAUGGCCACACCCAGCCUGGGUGUUGGAUGGGUAGAGAAGUGUGAUUUUAUCAUAUGCUUGGAAGAAAGAGACCUAGAAAUAUUGGUGAAUAGAAUUAUUGACUACCUAAGAUAGUGAAUACUUUGGAUGACAGAUUAAGGAACUAAGAGGAUCGAUUUUGAUAGGCUUAUAUGGUCAGGUGAAUCUGACAAAGGGAAAUUCAAUAUGGAAAAAUGUAAGACCUGUCCAUCCCAAAACUAAUUCCAGUAGCAUGCUUUAUGUACUUAAUAAACAUAAAUCCUUCCCCAUCUUUGUUGGUGAAAGGAGGGGCACAUCUUGCUGGCUUAGCAGCAUGUGACAGCAAAAGAAUUGUGGUGGUUGGUACAAGGGAAACGACAAGGAUACUUCUGUUUUGACUAUUCCACACCUGAAUUAUUACACUUACUUCUGGUUACAGGUUAAUAUUCAGAGGGAAGAUACAAUUUGAAAUCAUGUUAUACGGAAUGAUUAAGGCAAUUAGGAAUGUACAUUUGAAAAAAUUAACCUGAGCAGGGGAAUUGUGGGGGCGGGCAUCAUGGCUGCCUUAAAUAUUUUGAGGUCUGUCAUGAAGCAGGAAUGGACUUUUAUAAUAUGUCAAACUAGGAAAUGAAUGAAACCUACAGGAAGUGAUUUCAGUUCACUGUAUGGAGGAACUUAUUCUAGUAUAGAGGUAGUAGCAUAGAGUACAUCUUGCUGAAGAUAAUCAAACAUCAGAUUGAUUCACCUAAAAUUUAAUGAUUCUGAAUGACAGAAGAAUGCUUGUUAUACACCAGAAACUUUCAUAAGCAUUUAAUACAGUGAAUGUGAAAACAUUUAAGUAAUUAUUUCUAACUUUACUGGUGGGGGAGGGAAGAAAUUUAGUGAAUGUUGGUGACUUAAAAAUCAUUUCUACCUGUAUGCCUAUUAUAUACUGGAACCAUGCUAGGAAUUUUAUGAAUCUUUUUUCUAAAUCUUAUAUUAGUUUCAUUAGUAGAUGAAAAAAGUAAUUUAGAGAUUAUGACUUGCCCAAGAUUUACUGCUAGUUAACCGAUCAAGUAAGGAUUUUAACCAAGAUCCUUUGGAUUCCAAAAGUUGCUUUUUCUACUGUCCUACUAUAAUAAUAGUCAUAUUGUUUUAUCUACCUACCAUAUUUUUUUAUCUUACGGGACUAGUAUGCCGUCCUUUAUUUAGGAUUCUCUCUCUCCAUUCCUGUAUCCUUUCUCAUGUAGUUCUAAUGGGACCUCUCAAAUUCCUCCCUUGCUUGGUCAUUCCCCUAUCUCCCUUCAUAUAGGCGAGGCCAGUUAGAAUUCCCUGGGAGUUUUUAACUGAAACUGGUGAAGAGAAUCAUCUCUUUCUGGUGGUAAGUGUGGUAAGGUGUAGCACUUGAGAGUUAUCCAUGGUCAUGUUUGCCAUUCUGAGGGGAAGUUGGUCUUGCAUUGAGAGAGAAUGAUGCUGUCUGACAAGUGAGUGUCCUGGGUGUUUGAGUUCCUGGUUCUAAUUGUCUAAUGCUCAGCUUCUUACCUCCUCUUGCCAUGGUUUAGUCAUUCCACCCUUCUCAUUUAUGAGACAGCCCCAGUAGCUUUCAAAAAAUUCCCAUUUUGCAGAAGCAAAAGGAUCAGGCCUUGAAUAGUAUUGGUUACUUUUGACAGAUGAGAUGUGCAUUGUGUGCUGAGCAGACCCUCUGCCAGGGAAAAAAAUGAACCAUCGAGGAAGAAGCUCAGUGAUUCUUGAAGAUGCAGUUUUUGUAUAUAUGUCUUUGUAUUGGUGAGAUUGUCAAUAAUGGCGAUUUUUCAGACUUCAUUUUUAAAAAACUGUCGGAUCCAUUUUAUCAAAUACAGUUUGUGGUGUACCAAUAUCUUAUGACAAAGCAUAACUUUUCUGGCUGAGUGAUGUUUGGAGCCCUGGUCUCUUCUACAUAUACGUCUUUAUCCCCAGCUUCUUAGCAACUCCCCAAGGCCACCUUUAUGUGAUUUGGGAAGAUUUUUUUAACCUGGUGAGUUUUACUCCUCUGUAUUGGUCCUUAAAGACUAAAGACACAGACUUCUGCUUCUGGGUUGAGCCAUGGCGGUGGCAAAUUCAAGCCCCGUCAACCCCGUGGUGUUCUUUGAUGUCAGCAUCAGUGGCCAGAAGUUGGCCACAUGAAGAUCGAGUUAUUUGCAGACGUUGUGCCUAAAACAGCGGAGAACUUUAGGCAGUUCUGCACUGGAGAAUUCAGAAAAGAUGGGGUGCCAAUAGGAUACAAAGGGAGUACCUUCCACAGGGUUAUAAAGGAUUUCAUGAUUCAGGGUGGAGAUUUUGUUAAUGGAGAUGGUACUGGAGUUGCCAGUAUUUACCGGGGACCAUUUGCAGAUGAAAAUUUUAAACUUAGGCAUUCUGCUCCAGGCCUGCUUUCCAUAGCAAACAGUGGUCCCAGUACAAAUGGUUGUCAGUUCUUUAUUACCUGCUCUAAGUGCGACUGGCUGGAUGGGAAGCAGGUAGUGUUUGGAAAAAUCAUUGAUGGACUUCUAGUGAUGAGAAAAAUUGAGAAUGUUCCUAUGGGCCCCAACAAUAAGCCCAAGCUGCCUGUGGUGAUCUCACAGUGUGGGGAGAUAUAGUCCCAACUGAGACUGAACCAGGCCUUCCAUUGCUCUGGGAGAUGUUCUUGAGUAAGAUAAUCUGGACUGGCCCCUGUGUUUGUUUCCCUGCCUGCUGCUGCCCAUUUAAUCAAGAGACCCUGGAAGUAGCACAGAUUCAGAACCCAAGAUUGUCUGCAUUUAACCUUUCAACUGUAAAUAAAGUUUUUUAUGUGUGGAAAAAAAAAAAAA